rnacentral:rRNA from 1 species
UACAGAGGGUGCAAGCGUUGUUCGGAAUUAUUGGGCGUAAAGGGCGCGUAGGCGGUGCGGUAAGUCUGUAGUGAAAUCUCUGGGCUCAACUCAGAGUCUGCUGCAGAAACUGCCGUGCUUGAGUGUGGGAGAGGUGAGUGGAAUUCCCGGUGUAGCGGUGAAAUGCGUAGAUAUCUGGAGGAACACCGGUGGCGAAGGCGGCAUCCUGGACCACGACUGACGCUGAGUGAGCGAAAGCCAGGGGAGCAAACGGG